GUGGGGAAUAUUGCACAAUGGGCGCAAGCCUGAUGCAGCCAUGCCGCGUGUAUGAAGAAGGCCUUCGGGUUGUAAAGUACUUUCAGCGAGGAGGAAGGCAUUAAGGUUAAUAACCUUGGUGAUUGACGUUACUCGCAGAAGAAGCACCGGCUAACUCCGUGCCAGCAGCCGCGGUAAUACGGAGGGUGCAAGCGUUAAUCGGAAUUACUGGGCGUAAAGCGCACGCAGGCGGUUUGUUAAGUCGGAUGUGAAAUCCCCGGGCUCAACCUGGGAACUGCAUUCGAAACUGGCAAGCUUGAGUCUUGUAGAGGGGGGUAGAAUUCCAGGUGUAGCGGUGAAAUGCGUAGAGAUCUGGAGGAAUACCGGUGGCGAAGGCGGCCCCCUGGACAAAGACUGACGCUCAGGUGCGAAAGCGUGGGGAGCAA
rnacentral:rRNA from 1 species